ACAAGCAUCGAGAAUAAUUGUGUUUUUUUUAAAAAAAGAGAAAGUUUAGAGAAAAAAAGUUUUCCCAACUUCUCAUUCCGCCUUCAGUUCCAGACUUCAGAGUCACCGUGAUCAGACAUGACCUUUGUGUUGAUUUCUUCCAUAGCACCUGGAAAACAGCUGCUGUUUCCUUUGCUGCCUGAGCUGUUUGGCCACGUCUGAACUGCUGCUGAUGAAGCCUUUUCUGGCAGGUUGCCCGGGAGCAGCUCUCCUAUAGAUUCCGCCCCUCUCCAGGAGUUGCCUGCCUUCAGGAUAAUGGGCAACAUUGAAAGCUGCAAGGCGUUUGGUUGACAAGGUUCUCGGUACUUCUUUGUUCUAAAACUGCCCUUUCAAGUUUAGAGUAACUGCAUCCUCCAAGUCCAAGCUGACAAUCUACAUACAUCUCUUUACCUGCUGGGUGGAAGACCCCUGUACCCAGAGAUGUAUAAUCGCACGCUGUCACAGAAUUACAUAAGAAGAAAAUGCCUGUUUCUGAGCCUGGAAUCACCUUCCUCUUCCUUGAAAUCACACUAUACAUCUGUAAAAUGGUAAAUUGGGGGAACCUGAGUGACAGUUAUCAGAGUCUUUGUAAUUGUCUCUCAACUUUCUGUAAUCCUGAAAUUAUGUUACCAUGAAUCAUUUUAAAAAAAUCUGAACUAGCUUGAAACUCGUUUUUUAAAAUUGCAUUUGUUGGGGCGACAUUGAUUAAUAAAAUUAUAUAGG